GAUGAACGCUGACAGAAUGCUUAACACAUGCAAGUCAACUUGAAUUUGGGUUUUUAACUUAGGUUUGGGUGGCGGACGGGUGAGUAACGCGUAAAGAACUUGCCUCACAGCUAGGGACAACAUUUGGAAACGAAUGCUAAUACCUAAUAUUAUGAUAAUAGGGCAUCCUAUAAUUAUGAAAGCUAUAAGCGCUGUGAGAGAGCUUUGCGUCCCAUUAGCUAGUUGGAGAGGUGACGGCUCACCAAGGCGAUGAUGGGUAGCCGGCCUGAGAGGGUGAUCGGCCACAAGGGGACUGAGACACGGCCCUUACUCCUACGGGAGGCAGCAGUGGGGAAUAUUGGACAAUGGACCGAGAGUCUGAUCCAGCAAUUCUGUGUGCACGAUGAAGUUUUUCGGAAUGUAAAGUGCUUUCAGUUGGGAAGAAACAAAUGACGGUACCAACAGAAGAAGUGACUGCUAAAUACGUG
rnacentral:rRNA from 1 species